GGGCUGUUAGCUCAGUCGGUAGAGCAGUUGACUCUUAAUCAAUUGGUCGUGGGUUCGAUCCCCCCACAGCCCACCA
rnacentral:tRNA from 1 species